UGGGGAAUAUUGCACAAUGGGCGCAAGCCUGAUGCAGCCAUGCCGCGUGUAUGAAGAAGGCCUUCGGGUUGUAAAGUACUUUCAGUCGGGAGGAAGGUGGUAAGGUUAAUAACCUUAUCAAUUGACGUUACCGACAGAAGAAGCACCGGCUAACUCCGUGCCAGCAGCCGCGGUAAUACGGAGGGUGCAAGCGUUAAUCGGAAUUACUGGGCGUAAAGCGCACGCAGGCGGUUUGUUAAGUCAGAUGUGAAAUCCCCGGGCUUAACCCGGGAAUUGCAUCUGAUACUGGUCAGCUAGAGUCUUGUAGAGGGGGGUAGAAUUCCAUGGGUAGCGGUGAAAUGCGUAGAGAUGUGGAGGAAUACCGGUGGCGAAGGCGGCCCCCUGGACAAAGACUGACGCUCAGGUGCGAAAGCGUGGGGAGCAAACAGG
rnacentral:rRNA from 1 species